rnacentral:lncRNA from 1 species
UUUUUUUUUUUUUUUUUUUGGCCGAGAUGAAGUUUCAAUUUGUUGCCUAGGCUAGUCUCAAAUUCCUAGGCUCAAGUGACUCUCCUGCCUUGGACUCCCAAAGUGCUGGGAUUACAGGCAUGUGCCACUGCUCCCAGCCCUACAUCCCCAGUGUUUAAGCCAUGCCUCGUGCACUGGGAAUUGCAGACACCAAUCUGGAUAAUCUCUCUUGUCCCUCUUGAAAUUCAGUGACCCAAAUAAUAACUUCAGGGAAUAUGCUCCAGAUGUCCCAUGACUGGCAGAACCAGAACUUAGGUAAUGGGGAAUGAGAGAGAUCAAAGAAAUCUCACACCCCGGUAGGGUGUGGUGGCUCAUGCCUGCCAAGGCGGGCGAAUCACAAGGUCAAGAGAUCUAGACCAGCCUGGCCAACAUGGUGAAUCCCUGUCUUUACUAAAAAUACAAAAAUUAGCCAGGUGCGGUGGCAGGCACCUGUAAUCCCAGCUACUCAGGAAGCUGAGGCAGGAGAAUCACUUGAACCAGGGAGUCGGAGGUUGCAGUGAGCCAAGAUCGCGCCACUGCACUCCAGCCUGGGCAACAGAGCAAGACUCUGUCUCAGAAAGAAAAGAAGAAAUCUCAUGCCCCACCCACCUCCACCCCUGAAAAAGACGAGCAACUGUGCUUCUGGGGAGGAUUGUGCCUUUAUCACGUUGGGGGCGCCGUGUGUCUCAAGUCUUGGGACAUGGUCCUUUAUCACAUCGGGGGAGCUGAGCACAUCUGAAGUCUCGGGAUAUGGUCAGUCCCGCACUCUUACAUGUCUGCACAGGUUGUCUCUGUGACUGCUGUGAUUUCCUGGAGGGGUUUGCGGGAGGACCCAGCCGGCCGCUCUCAGGUGCCCACGUCUCGCUCUGGUGACUUCUCUGUGCUGUAACCAAGGGGGGGUGAAACGGAAGGAAGACCAGCAUUUUCCUGCUACCGUUGAAUAUUGUCAAUCCUGGCCCAUUUUACCAAGCCCUUCAGGCAAGAGCAAGUCAUCUGACUUACAUCCCAGGAGGGAAAGACGUGUCUUUAAAUCCUGGGGAGGCGAGGCCAGCUGAUGUACACGAAGCCACGUGGCCGUAGUCUGGCGUGCUCCCUUUAAGGCUAAAGGCACCAGUGGCCCAGUGGCUCUUCCCUAUGGGCAGUGUUUUUGGGGGAUCUUCUGUGAGUCCACUGGCUCUAUCGUCCAUCUCUUUGGGAGUCAGCAGUAGAAAUGCUGCCAGCCAUGAUGCAGACCUUCAUAUAAGGAAGCUGCUGAUUUGGGUGUACAGUGAACUGUGUUUUAUGUUGCAGUGAAAUUCAUUGUGAUUUUAAGGGCAAUGUUUUUGGUUAAUUUGUGCCCAGCAACAUAAAAAUUUAUAAGGUUUUCAGUUUUUAUGGCAGGGGCAUUUUAAAAGAGAAAAUGUGCCAUAGUGGGGGAGGGAGUGAACCCAAUCCGUGGCGCUCGGUCUGUCUCACUGGUGACAGGACGCCCUCCAUACGGAAGGACUGUUCUUUUCCUGUG